rnacentral:rRNA from 1 species
CCUGGUGUCUAUGGCACGGUGGACCCACGCUGACCCAUCUCGAACUCAGUUGUGAAACGCUGUUGCGGCAAAGAUAGUUGGAGG